GAUGAACGCUGGCGGCGUGCCUAAUACAUGCAAGUCGAGCGAAGAUAUUCUGAUCUUUCUCCCCUGACAUUUUCGCGGCGCACGUGAGUGUCACACGGAUAAAAUCUCUCUUAUACUGUGAUAAAUUUGUUAGAAAGGAUAUCUUACCCCGUAUCAUAUCAUUCCCCAUGUGUUUGCUGUUUAAAACUUGCUUUUUGUAACUUUUAGAUGUAUCUGUGCGGUAUUAUCUAGUUGGUAAGGUAACGGCUUACCAAGGCAACGAUGCAUAGCCGACCUGAGAGGGUGAUCGGCCACACUGGAACUGAGACACGGUCCAGACUCCUACGGGAGGCAGCAGUAGGGAAUCUUCCGCAAUGGGCGAAAGCCUGACGGAGCAACGCCGCGUGAGUGAAGAAGGUCUUCGGAUCGUAAAACUCUGUUAUUAGGGAAGAACAAAUGUGUAAUUAACUAUGCACGUCUUGACGGUACCUAAUCAGAAAGCCACGGCUAACUACGUG
rnacentral:rRNA from 1 species